UACGUAGGGUGCAAGCGUUAAUCGGAAUUACUGGGCGUAAAGCGUGCGCAGGCGGUCUUGCAAGACAGAUGUGAAAUCCCCGGGCUCAACCUGGGAACUGCAUUUGUGACUGCAAGGCUGGAGUACGGUAGAGGGGGAUGGAAUUCCGCGUGUAGCAGUGAAAUGCGUAGAUAUGCGGAGGAACACCGAUGGCGAAGGCAAUCCCCUGGGCCUGCACUGACGCUCAUGCACGAAAGCGUGGGGAGCAAACAGG
rnacentral:rRNA from 1 species